AAGAGGCAGGCGGAGGCAACUCCAGAGCCUCCGCGUCACUUUCCUUCUGGGCCCUGCAAGUGGCCACUCUGGCCACCUUGGGUCACGUGACUCAGAGGACAGCUCCCAGUUCUGAGAAAGCUUCAGGUGGUCCUGAUUGUGGCCGUCCAUCUCCAGCAGCCGAAUGGCCACCUCGCCAUGCCAACGGCCUCGGUGCACCCGGCCCCAGCGACCCUGUCCAAUGGGCUCGCCCAGUUCCACCUGUUCAAAGGGGAUGUCCCACUCUUGCAGGAGCUGGGAUUACAGGCGUGCAUCACCACACCUGACUAUGAUGAAGACAGCGGUUCUUGGCAGGGAUCAGAACUCACCUAUCAAGCUCUGAGAGCAUAGAGAUGCCAACUCCCACCCCAGGCUGACUGACUUAGCUCCCAGGCCCAGUGAGAAGGUAGUUCCAGUGACGGCCAGCAGGGGGCGCUGUGUGUUAAGGCUGGGAAAGGCAAAGCCAGCUGACAGAUGCCAAUGCCUCAGUGUGACCCUGAACCAGUUCCCUGUAAAAGACUAGGGAGGAUGGACAGACUCCAGAGUCCCAUCCAGCAAGGUACUGCCCACAUGAAGGUCCACACCUCCAGGACUUCGCAACCUCUUGCCUAGCUGCAGUGGACUCAAACGUGUGGGGAGAAGGCACCCGGCGGGAAGGAGAGGGUCCCAGCAAGGGGCAGUUAGUGGACCCACGCAGAAGACUCACCUGGGAAGAUAAACUGCUGUCUAUGAUGAAUGAAGUAGGCAGCUUUAAACAGAAGAGGAGAAUUCUAGGAACCAGUGAUGGGACUGAUCUGGAUCCUGUGGGCUACAACAAACAGGAACAUCACUGUGCAGCAUUUCCCAUUAGGACUAAAGACCAGAUAAGCCCAGGACUGAGGUUUGACAUCUCUUGCCAAGGUGACAGCUAAGUGCCAUGUAGGUAAGUGGGCCUUGCUCUGCACCCUGGAGACAGGGCAGCCCAGUGUGGCUGACCAGAACCAAUGGUAAGACAGGAAUGCAAUCCUGGCCUCUUCCAGCAGUUCCGGGGCAACCGGGAUCUGAGCAUAGCUUCUGAGGGCAGCUGGGCUCAGCUCUGCUCCUCCAGGGUUGCCCCAGGGCCCGGAAUCCUCACCUGCUCAGUGGUGACCACCUUAUUUUAAUUCCCUAUGGUCUCUGGGUGGCACAGGAAGGGAUGUGAGAUCGUCUUUGCGUAGCUAGACCCAGGCACAGAACUGGGUAUGCAACAGAUGCACUGUAGGUUUCUUGCUCCCUGCUGCCUAUCACGACACUCUCAAGUUCAGACAUCAGCUCUGAGAGAGGAUGAUGCCGGGCAGAAACUACGCCAAGCCCAGGCUGGCAUCCCGGGUCAUCCUAAGAAGCCAGGCUCUGUGUACAUUGCUGGGCCAGCCACUCCUCCUUCCUUAACCCCAGCGUCCUCAUCUGUAUGAAGUGCAUUAAUCCUAUGCUCAGCAGAUGCUCUGCCGACUCAGCUCUCGGGGGAGAUGGGGAGAGAUCUGAAGGUAUCCCUCGGGACCCAGAAAAGCCCAGAGGUGUGGUACCUGGGAAGCUGAACCUGCUGUCCCGCUGGCCAGGUGACGGGUUGGGAGGCGUGGUGGCACUGGAGGGAUUAGAUGAGGUCAGGAAAGGUGCCGGCGAUGAGGGUGUGGAGGACGUGGUGGAGGAUGGGUUGCUGCUGGAGUCCAGGUUCAUGGCUGGAGGGUGCUCCUGCAAGGCCAGAGAUGCGGAGAUGAGCAAGGCUGCAAGCUCAACUCAGCCUCUGCCACCUGGGGCGCCCGCCCUCCUUCCACCCCCUCCAUCUCUACAGGUGGAGGUUGGAACAGGAGAUCCUUGGGGGCCCAUUCUGAAGCCCCAAGAUUAUCUGGGACUAAUAUACGAUGGAAGGACACUUAAGAGACCCUCUCCUAAAGGAUUCCUGCCCAUCUUUCUCAUUGCAGUUCCUUCUUCUCCCCAGAAGCCUGCCUGAAGCCUGCCUGAACUAUACUCUUCCUCUUCAUCCUUCCACAGUGCUCAGCAUUUCCGCACCCAGGCACCGUAACGGACCCUAUGUCAGCUUCUGACAGCCGAGGGUGGUUUGACCAUCUCUCCCGCCCCAGCACCCGCCUGGCUUUGAGCUGGGCACCUUCUUAAUGAAGUGAAUUUAUAUUGUGACCAACAUUUAUGCAGCUUCAGGCCCCUCGGCAGGAAGCAAAUCGAGUCUGUGGUUUUGUGAUCUUGUCCUAGUGUCAAGGAACUCAGAAAACCCCACAAAACUCCGGAAGAGGCCACAGCUUGGGCCAAUGUUGUCCGCUGUCUCGAAGAGUUAAGAAUUCCAGAACUGAGGACUGGCAAUGUGGUUCAGCUGGUGUGAUGCUUGCCCCAGGUCUGGUUUUGAUCUCAGCCCCGCAUAAACUGGGCGUAGUGCUUCAGGAGGAAGUUGAGGCAGGAGGCUCAGAAGCUUAAAGUCAGCCUUGGCCAUAAAGUGAGUUUCAGACCAGGCUGGGAUACAUGAGAGCUUGUCCCAAAAAAGGGGGAAAAAUCCCAGAGCUAGAAAGAAAUUUCUAAGAGAGAUUCCAGGAAGUGAUCAGUGGGCAGGUCUAGUUCACACCCCCGUGACUUAUUAACGCCAUUUCUUUUACAAGCAUGCAUGGUCACCUAAAUUAGAUCAGGCUAGCCAGAGCUUGCCAACAGAUGGCUUGCCGGCUAGGGAGAAAUAUUGGGAGCUGUGGAAGGAUAAAGAGGAAGCUUAAAGUUCCAGGCAGGGUUUGGACAGGUUUGCUUGCUGGGAGACCUCAGGCCCCAGCAGGGAUGGUACUGGGCCAGAGCAGGGAGCACUGGCCUCCCAGCUCUCUGCAGGAGGGGCCCACAACACCCCCACAACACCGCAGCAUCAAUUCCUGUCCAGCUGCCUCUGGCAAAAAUGCAGACGGCAGGCUCAAGUCUUGGUCAGGCAUGGCUUCUAGUCAGGAUGAAGUGGUUUCUGGAUUUUAAUGACAUCUGGGUAUGUGUACAUGUGUGAACACAUGUGUCUUCAUGUGCCCGGAGAAACUGAGACACUUUCUACCCUGUUUUCUGAGGCGCCCUCACUGAGCAGGAUACACACUGAUGUGGCCAGACCGGCUGAUCAGCAAGGGUCUUCCUGCCUCCACUUGAUUGGUACUUAGACCCACAGGUGCACCGCCACAUCUAGCUUUCUGUUCCAUUUCUGUUCAUUUCUUUUAAAGACAGGGUCUCCCUAUACAGUCCUGGCUGGCUUGAGACUUGCUAUGUAGAUCAGGCUGGCCACGAACUCACGGGAUCUCUGCCUGCCUUAGCCUCCUGGGUACGGGGAUUAAAGGUGUUAAGCUGUU
rnacentral:lncRNA from 1 species